AUUGAACGCUGGCGGCAUGCCUUACACAUGCAAGUCGAACGGUAACGCGGGGCAACCUGGCGACGAGUGGCGAACGGGUGAGUAAUGCAUCGGAACGUGCCCAGUAGUGGGGGAUAGCCCGGCGAAAGCCGGAUUAAUACCGCAUACGACCUACGGGUGAAAGCGGGGGACCGCAAGGCCUCGCGCUAUUGGAGCGGCCGAUGUCAGAUUAGGUUGUUGGUGGGGUAAAGGCCUACCAAGCCGACGAUCUGUAGCUGGUCUGAGAGGACGACCAGCCACACUGGGACUGAGACACGGCCCAGACUCCUACGGGAGGCAGCAGUGGGGAAUUUUGGACAAUGGGGGCAACCCUGAUCCAGCCAUGCCGCGUGCGGGAAGAAGGCCUUCGGGUUGUAAACCGCUUUUGUCAGGGAAGAAACGCUCUGGGCUAAUACCCCGGGGUAAUGACGGUACCUGAAGAAUAAGCACCGGCUAACUACGUG
rnacentral:rRNA from 1 species